rnacentral:tRNA from 1 species
CUGUUGCCUCUUCCUUGAGUC